rnacentral:lncRNA from 1 species
AAACUUUCAAUAAAUCAUUGGUCCAAUUACCCAAAUGAAAAACUAAUUUUAUAAAUAAUAAACUUUGAAAAAAACCCAUUUCUUUCAAUUCUUUCCACUUUCUUUUUCCCUAUUCUCUCAACUCUCGUUGCUUCCUCUAGUAAUUGAAAGUAACAAACAAAAUCUUCACUCGAAACCCAAAAAGAAUAAAAGAAAUAAAUCUUUCAUGUCCCUUUGUUACAUGGUUUCCUUUGAUUUUUCUUUUGGAAAUCCACAACAUUAUUUGUUUUGUUUUUGUAAUAGGGCCCAAUCGACCCAGGCCCAAACAAUUAAAAAUAGUCCAGUUACAAGCCCAACGGCCUUACAGGCCCAAAACUAAACCAAACCCCAAAACUAAAAAAAGAAAAAACCCUAGUGACAACAGGGGAGCGCCGCAACUUCCCCCGCCUUCCACGCCUCCAGCGAGUGCCCAGUCGCCGCAAGACUCGGAGAUGGCCCUCUCCACGCGCGCCGUUUCUUCACGAUUAUCUGCAAAAACGGACCUAAGGAGUCCGAGGAAAACAAAAUAGCAAAGAAUAACAGAUGUACUUAUUUUCUUUUUACUUUCAGGCCUACAAGAGACCACUUUUUAUAUGUAAAAGAGGAGGGAUCUUUGGAUAGAGAGAAUCAACAAUAAUAAAGCAGCGAAAACUCGUUUUUUUAAGAGGUGAUUUCUUUUUUUUGUCGACAGUGACUAUCGUUCUACAUAUGUUUUUCAUUUUCUUUCACUUUUCAUUUUGUUUCAUUUAAAAUAACAAAGAAAAAGAAAAAGAAAACUUACCUAAGUUGGGAACCAGUGCCGGAAUUCGGACCGUCCGAAUCGCCUGAGAGGCGGCGCGAGGACGCUAGGGUCCUAAACCCUAGCAGAGCAACAGAGAAACUUUUGUUAUUUUAAUUUAUUUUUCUUUCAUUCGGUUUCAAGUGAUU